ACCACAUAACACUUUCACAAAUCAACAGAAUUACAAACAAGGGUCUACGACCAACAGUCUACAAAAGACCGGCUCUUAAAAAUGAACUGUCCUACGACCUACAAGUCGAACACGUUCUCCAAUUUUACGACUUCACAUCUGCAACUCCUCAAGGCCAACCAAAGUUAUUUGGCCACUCCAUCCACCGGGGACUUGAAAUUUUAAUCCCACAACCGGGAUGAGACGAUGUCUCAGCAAGUUCAACCCCCUAAACCCCUAUUAGAAAGAAAAUACGCCCCGGGUGGCCUAGCCACA
rnacentral:lncRNA from 1 species